UUAGUGAAAAACACGAGCUUUUUUACUUGUUAUUAAUUGUUGGAUUUUAUCACUUUUUCUUUAAAGUUAUGGCUUCAAAUUGCAAUGUUCCAUAUUCUAUAAUUUUCCGUUUUACACAGUAACAAUUUCUCUAAUCUUCUGGGCUAUAGUAGUUAGUAUCCUUGUCUAUGCUCGGCGUUUCGUCACUAAGUUAAGUUAGUAAUAUGGGCCUUAACUCACAACAAGUUUUGUCAUUUAUUCCUGCAGACUCUUGGACUCCAGUUUUUGUAAUGCCUGGUUAUAAAUCGAGUAAUGGAAUUUAUAUAAUAUCUACAAAUGAAAAAUAUUUACAACGUUGUAACGACAUAUAUAAAAUGGCAUUACAUAGUUAUACAUUUGAAAAAGUCAAUACAUAUAAAUUUAUGGAAUUAGUUGCAGUAGAAAUUGAAGGAUUAUGGUGCAGAGGUAGAAUGUUAAGUUAUAAUGAAUUUCUGGUUGAAAACACAGCUGUUGAGUUAAUUGAUUCAGGAACUAUUGUCAAAAAACAAUUAAGUGAUUUAUAUCAUUUACCACAUGGUUAUAAAUAUGAUCCUUUAUGUCUCACAAUUAAACCUGUUAAUGAAAUUCCUUCCCUUACAAUAGUUACACAAUUUUAUGUUCAACCUUUAUUAUUAAAAAGUGAACUUCAUAAAGGUUAUGUUGUAGUAAAUAUCAAACCAAUAGAAAUGAUUAAUGAGAUAUAUUCGGAGAAGACUUAUGAAGAAAUGAAUACAAAAAGUUCUCAUCCUUUAAUCAUAAGUACAAAGGACAAAUGUACAGUUAAAGAUUCUAAUUGUAAUGCCCAAGAAUUUAACAAGUUAAAUAACCACAUGACUUGCAUGAAAGAACUCAAAAAACAAGGCAUUAUUGAAAAUAAAUAUGUUGAAUUUUCAGAUGACUUGAAAGAGGUAUUAAUUGAAGAAAAAAAUUAUUUUUUGAAAACUUUGUUAAAUAAUGGAAAUAUAUAUGACUUGAAUAAUAUAUUUUCAAUACCUAAUAAUUAUAAUUAUAAAUUGUCAUUGAAAUAUGUUGACCAAAAUAAUCAACCUGUUCUUGUUCAUGAUGUCAUUGAAUACAACCAAAAUAACGAUGAUACACAUAAAACUAAUAAUAAUGAUACUUCAAUAAUUAAAGAAUCAAAUGUUACUGGUUUAAGAACUUACUCUACAUCACACAUGUCAGUAGAUAAUAUAUUUAAAAAUGGAUCAUCUGUUGAAUUUUGCUAUGGUACAAACAUUAAUUUUGUGUAUAUUAGAAGUUAUGACCAAAAAAAAAAAUAUUCAAAAGAAAUGAAACAGUUUUACGCAUAUUAUAAAAUAAAGGAAAAUUUAAAAAUCAAAACAAAUAUAACCAUUGGAGAUAUGGUUGCAGCCACUUUGUUACAUUACAAUGAAAUACACAGAGCUGUAAUAUUAGAGGAGAGUUCAAAUCAUUCUUUUAAAAAUUAUUUCUGUUUUUUUAUUGAUAUCGGCUGUAAAGAAUAUGUUAACCCAAAUCAUAUCUUUUAUUUAUUAGAAGAAGCUAAAAAUGUUCCUUAUUUAGCUCAUAGAGUGGAGUUGAAAAAUAUUCCAUUGCAUAAUACUAUGCAAUUAAAGUAUUUAAAGAACUAUUAUGAUCAAUUGUAUUUACAGCCAUUAUUAAUAGAAUAUGUUGAAAGUGAUUCCAGUGGAUUAAACAAAGCUAUAUUAAAAAGAAAAUCAGAUAAUAAGGAUAUUUAUUUAGAUUUAAAAGAAUUUUUACAAAAAAAAUUAUCAAGUUUUAGUUUGUUACAUAAUAAAGGAACUAAAUUAAAAAUAACAGACUAUUUGAAGUAUAAUGAUUUGUUUAAAAAUGGAUCAGUAGUAUUAAUUACUCAUUUCAUUUCUAUAAAUCAAAUUUAUAUCCGUAUUAAUACAUCUGAAUUAACAGAAUACUAUAAUAAUUUAAUCACAGAAGUUAAUAAGUUUUAUGUCAAUUCGAAAAGUACAUAUCACAGAAUACAGACUCCAAAAAUUGGUGAAAGAGUUGCUGUAAAAUCUCUAUCUAAGAAAACAUUUGUACGUGCAACUAUUUCUAAAAAAAUUAAUGACACAACUUAUUUAGUACACUACAUUGAUUAUGGUGAUAAAGAGUAUGUGAAAGCAAUCAACAUUUUUCAGUUAGACUCUAGAUUUGGACAUUUGCCACAGUCUGUGAUUAAAAUUGGUUUAAAAAUUAGUAUGUCAAUCAAUACAAUUAAACAUCUUCCUGAAUACUUCAAUCAAUUAAUUCAAUUAUCAGUUCCAUUGAUUGCGGAGUUUGACGAGGAAGAUCCAUUAGGGUUUCAAAAGAUUGUUUUAAGAAAGAAGCUUGAUGGCGUUAAUAUUUGUGAAGAUAUUUGUAAUCUACCUGACCUAUUAUAAAUAAGUGUUAUAACAAACUUAUGUUAAAAUUUUUUUAUAAGUUAAUCUAGCAACUGAUAUGACAGUACUCGGAAAAAAAAUCCAUACCUAACUGUUGGAUACAGCUGCAAAAGUGUAAAAAUUAAUAAUGAAUACUUAGGUAAUAAUAAAUGUUAAAACUAUAUAACAUUUGAAUGAUAAUAUUAUCUAGGUCAGACCUCAGUUCUGCAUAAAAUAAAAAUGUUUACUGUUUUAUAGUUGCCUCUUUUUGUACUUCUCUCUUCAGGUUCACCUAAAGCAUCUAUUGUUAACUUUGCUCGAUCGGCGUAAUUUCGUUUUUAAUUUUUCUUAUCAGUUUCCAUAUUGUAGGAUGUUUUUGACCAACUAGUUUUGGAAACCUAUUGUUCCAUCCUUCAACAAUGUUGUUGGUCUGUUACAGUUACUGAGGGUAGUUUCAUUUACAUUCCAUACAGCAGGUGGGUACAUCGGUGGUAGUUUUCGAAACAUAAUUUUAUUUUCAUCACUUCCUAUUCUUCGAUAUUUGCCAUUAACAACGUAGUAUGCAUCAAAAUAAUCUAAUAGAUCCGUGAGAUUUUCGGUUAAAUUGUUUUUUAGAUACUUACGUCAUUUCUUCUUCUACAAGGUGCAAAGGAAGGAAUGCAAGUGCGUCAACUAUUCCACAAUGUUUCCAAAAUUCUUCAUCCUUUUUGUACAUUGUGGCAAAACCGAGUGCUUGUACUUUCCGGAACGUUGAUUGACACUAAGUAUGAUAGAAGCAGCCUCUUACAUUUAUAUGAACACCUAAUACUUCUUUUGCUGCUUCGAUAACUGCACUUUCAAAGUCAAGAUAAUGUGGCAGAUCAUCCAUGCAAUAAACUAAAUAUCUUGAGAAAUGAAGAUGAACUUUUUGAUAAUUCAAAUUCUUCUGAAAAUGUAAACAGUACCGAUAAAUUGAAUUUGUCAAAUACUCAUGAAAAAAAUUAU